GAGGAGAGCAGGAGGUUUUAUAACUUAUUGGCCUAAAUUAUAGAGAUAAAAUCAUAUUCUAUUUGUUGCAUACCAAAAAGGAAAAUAUGGAGAUAACUCUCAAGAUCGUUUAUGUUAUUAUUUUCGCUCUUUCUCUAUUUCUUAUUGCAAUGAAUAUAGAUGGACGUAUUGAAUGUUUCACUCAUGCUGAUUGUCCGUUAACUAUGUGUCUGGACCAUGGUACUCUUGCGACUUGCGAUAUGAAUUGGUGUAAAUGUAUUCGACCAUAGAUUAUAUAUGUGUAAAGCUAUGGCUUUGUGCUCUAAUAAGAUUAUGGUAAUAAAAUGAAAUAUGGCAGCAAAUAUUAUUAUUUAGAUUGUCU